GGGUCAGUAGGUUGGUCGUGCCACCGGUACGUACUGGUCUCACUGAUUCCUCCUUCCUGAAGAACCGUAACGCCAUUAAUUUGGUGUUGCGGGGAAACAGGACUGUUACUUUGAAAAAAUUAGAGUGUUUAAAGCAAGCUAACGCUUGAAUACAUUAGCAUGGAAUAAUGAAAUAGGACGAUCGAUCCUAUUUUGUUGGCUUCUAGGAUUGACGUA
rnacentral:rRNA from 1 species